GGGGGCCCUGGGGAUAGGGUCCCCGAAGCAAAGCUGAGACUCAGAGGUGGGCUGCUGAGCCACGCCGUCCGCAGGGGCGGUGGCUACAGGUAGUUGUCUUCUGCGGCGUCGCUCCCGCCCCUGGAGCCCCGGGGCUCAUCCUCGUCGUCGUCGUCGUCAUCGGGGGCCAGCGCCUCGAUGUCGUGCGUGAUGUCAGCCAGCAGCCGGUGGAAGGCCUGUGCCUCGGGCCGCUGCGCCGCGCCAUCGUAGCUGCGCACUGCGGAGGCCGACGUGGAGCUCAUGCUGCGCUUGAUGCGGCCGAAGCUGUCAGUGAGGAUGCCGCCCUCGCGGAUGCCCACGCCCUCCAGGAAGCCCUCGAAGUAGCCGAUGUCCUGGUCCGGGAUGAAGGGCCGCAUCCCUGCGAGCCGAGGGGCAUGGUUAUGUCCAGGGCAAUGUGCCAUUCCCAAAAUGUUUACUCCAGCCUCCAGGCUUUUGCUUGUGCCAUUCCCACCACCGGCCCCAGCUCACCGUGACCAUGUAAUCCUGUAACUGCUCCAAGCCCAGACUGCUGUGGUCGCUGCCGCUGCAGUGGGAGCCAUGGAAAGAAGGUGUGGACGUGCCGCUGUAACAUGCUUCAAAGGUGUCCUGGGAGCCAUUACUGCAGGCACGGGAAGAAGGGCCUUCACUCGCCUCCCUCCAGCUCCUGGCCCUCAGGCAGGCUGAAGUGCUCCCUGCAGAGCCAUAACAGAUGAAGUGCUUAGUAAAUGUCAGCGGAAGUGGUUGGAGAUGGUGGAUAUAGGCUCAAAUGUAUAUGACCUUGAACACAUUACCUCAUCUCUUAGCGCCUCAGAGCCCUCACGUGUCAAAAGCAGGAUAAUGGCAGUACCUGCCUUGGAAGGCUGCUGCAGGGAUUGAAUGGGAACAGAAGUGCACAAUGAUAACAUAUUAUUAAAAUUAGCUUGUGAAUCAAAGAAGAGAUGAGCAAAACAAAGUCCCUGCUCUCAAAGACUUAACAAUUGUGGCAGAUAGGAUUCAUCUCUUUUGAACCACCUCCAGUUGAUUGGCAGGGGCUGCCUGGAGGGCUGCGUAGAGGAUUAUAAAAACCGGAUCUACUCCCAGCAGGAAGAAGGGAUUGAUUAUCAAUGCCUGCCAUGGGCAGGAGUGGGGAUAUUAGCAGCAGGUGGUCAGUGCACAUGCUGACCAUGAUCUGGUUAGAGACAAAGACACACAAGCCAAGAACUCUGGUAUCAGGCCAGCGACUUGUUUGGGAAAGGCAGAAUCAGGAGCCAUUCCCCAGGCCGGUGGCAUUCAAGCCAAACCUUGAAGGGUGAAUGGAAGGAAAGUUACUCUGGGCAGAGGGAACAGCUUGAGCAAACACAGUGCCAGAGUUCUGCCUGCAAGGAACAGACAACCCCGCCAAAGGUGGCUUAGACAAGAAGGAACAUUUAUUCUCUCUUAAAACAAGUCCAAUAAUGAGGGUUUUCAGGUUAUUUGAGCAGCUCAACACUGGCAUCAAAUUCCUUUAUAUUUUUUACUUUGCUGGUGUUAUUGUGUCGCUCCAAUUUAUUUGUUGAAGCCCUAACCCCCAGUACCUCAGAAUGUAAUAGUAUAUGAAGAUAGGGUCUUUAAAGAGGUGAUGAAGUUAAAAUGAGGCAGUUAGGGUGGGCCUUAAUCCAAUCUCCCUGGUGUCCUUAUAUGAAGAGGAAAUUUGCACCUGUAAUCUCAGCACUUUGGGAGACCAAGGCACGCAGAUCACCUGAGGUUGGAGUUCGAGAUCAGCCUGGCUAACAUGGUGAAACCCCAUCUCUACUAAAUAUACAAAAUUAGCUGGGUGUGGUGGCACGCACCUGUAAUCCCAGCUACUCAGGAGGCUGAGGCAGGAGAAUCACUUGAACCUGGGAGGCAGAGGUUGCAGUGAGCUGGGAUCACGCCACUGCACUCCAGACUGAGUGACAGAGUGAGACUCCAACUCCAAUAAAAAUAAAAAAAGGAAAGAAAAGAGGAAAUUUGGACACACCGAGACAGCAGGGUCACUUGUGUACAGGGAAAGGCCAUGUGAGAACACAGUGGGAAGACGGCCAUCUGCAAGCCAUGGAGAGAGGCCUCAGGAGAAACUGUCAGAAGUGUUUGAACCAGAGCAACUCCAUCUUGAAUAGAAGCUAGGUAGAAUGAGGCUGAGACCUACUGGGCUGCAUUUCCAGACAGUUAAGGCAUUCUAAGUCGCAGGAUGAGACAGAGGUCAGCACAAGAUACAGGUCAUAAAGACCUUGCUGAUAAAACAGUUGCAGUAAAGAAGCCGGCUAAAUCCCACCAAAACCAAGAUGGCCAUGAGACUGACCUCUGGUCAUCCUCACUGCUACACUCCCACCAGCACCAUGACAGUUUACAAAUGCCAUGGCAACAUCAGGAAGUUACCCUAUAUGGUCUAAAAGGGGGAGGCAUGAAUAAUCCACCCCUUGUUUAGCAUAUAAUCAAGAAAUAACCAUAAAAAUGGGCAACUAGCAGCCUUUGGGCUGCUCUGCAUAUGGAGUAGCCGUUCUUUUAUUCCUCUACUUUCUUAAUAAACUUGCUUUCCCUGUACUGUACGGACCCGCCCUGAAUUCCUUCUCGCGUGAGAUACAAGAACCGUCUCUCGGGGUCUGGAUGGGGAGCCCUUUCCUGUAACAAAACCAACUCUGCCAAUGCCUUGAUCUUGGACUUCCAG
ensembl:lncRNA novel transcript